rnacentral:rRNA from 1 species
UACAGAGGUCUCAAGCGUUGUUCGGAAUUACUGGGCGUAAAGAGUGUGUAGGCGGUGCUCUAAGUUCGGUGUGAAAUCUCCCGGCUCAACUGGGAGGGUGCGCCGAAAACUGGAGUGCUGGAGCGCGGGAGAGGAAAGCGGAAUUCCUGGUGUAGCGGUGAAAUGCGUAGAUAUCAGGAGGAACACCGGCGGUGUAGACGGCUUUCUGGACCGUAGCUGACGCUGAGACACGAAAGCGUGGGUAGCAAACAGG